rnacentral:tRNA from 1 species
GCCUGGGUGGCUCAAUCGGUUGAGCAUCCGACUUCGGCUCAGGUCAUGAUCUCACGGUUGGUGGGUUCGAGCCCUGCGUCAGGCU